CCCCAGAUGUUGCUGAAAUACAACUCCCAUGAUUCCCUGCCUGUUUAAUUGAAAGAAUCAUGGGAGUUGUAGUUCAGCAACAUCUGGGG
rnacentral:miRNA from 1 species